AAGACUAUACUUUCAGGGAUCAUUUCUAUAGUUCUUUGCUAGAGAAGUUUCUUUGAUGAUGUAGAGCACCGAAACCAUGAGGAGUCAGAGCAUCCUCUCCCUGCACAUGAAGCCGGUUCUAGGUGUUGCUUUUGCAACUGCCUUUUACCAUUGACGACCAUUCUUCUGUUCCCUAUGAAGAGUGAGAAGGAGAAGAUGCAGUCUGAAUGGU